ACAUAGGUGGCUAUACUUACUCCUUGACUUAUUAUAAUGCAUACAAAAUAACUAGUGCUUUUUUUAAUUUUUGGCCUUAAAAAGUUUGUUUUUUGCACUUUUUCUAUUAUACCUAUGUUCACAUAGAGAUGCUCACGUGCUAUAACUUCAUAGAUUGAUAAUAGCAUCAAUAAUAUUCAGGAUGCAAAUUCGUUAUAAACAUCAAUUUCCAUCGAUAACAAAAUAAUUAUUGAUGGAAUUCAAAGGUUUUUAUGUAAUUAAUCAAACCGCACCCACGAACCUAUAUAACACGGUUAUUUGAAUUUAAUAUAUGAUUUAACAAUUUUUCCUAUAAGUGUUCGCAUAUUUUUUCUGUUCUGAUUUCAGCAUGAAAGUCAUAUUUCUGGCGUGUUUAUUUGCCUUUGUGAGUACACAUAGACUUUAUGACGAUGUAUUGCCGAUUGAUAUGUUAGCUUUAGCCAAAAAACCUGAGGAAUUGAAUAAAUUCAUGGACUGUUUGCUUGAUAGAGGCCGUUGUAAUGAUGUGUAUAUAGGUUACAGAGUUUAUACUCCUCAAUCCGUUCGGGAAUCUUGUAAAAGAUGUACAACCGAUCAGAAAAUAUUUGUCUACUUAUUCUUGGAAACUCUUAAAAGAUUGUUACCAAAGAGUUACCACGAAUUUAGACAUAAAUAUGACCCAAAUAAUGAAUACUUUGACAACUUAGAGGCUGUAGUAUAUAAAUACAAGUUUGAACCGUGUCAAUAAGCUCAACUCCGUUUCAGUAACGAUGAGUGAUGUUAAAUUGUUAUAAAAUUAUUUGACAUUGUCGGAAGGAGAAACAAAUCAAAGACAAAUAUUUUGAAAAUGAUAUAAAAUCUUUCCAAUUUUCAUACAAGUGUCUCUAAUAUAUUGGUUAUAUUUACAUACACUAAUAAAUAAUUUAUAAUAUCUGUAAUUAAA